GUAAGUUUCGUUGUGCCGGCAGAAGUGUAAUUACACAAAAUUUUUAUUAAUAUGAUUUUAUUAAUGUUAUAUUACGAUUAUUAUCAUUUAAUUGCAACUUCGAUGGCGGGAUGGUUUUGAAAGUAAAGCAAUAAUUUUUGCAUAUAUCAUAAUAAUUAAAAAAAUUCGACAAAUUUUAUGCAAAUGUGAUAAAUCGAUUCCUGAGAUUACUUUAGGCGGGAAAAAGCAUCAAUAUGGACGCCAUGAUGACAUUUAUAUUUUAUGGAGAAAAGAUAAAGUUUUAAUUUCGAAAAAAAAUAUCAUGGUGGUCUUAAUGCAGUUUGUAGAGUUAAUUUUUAUUUCGCAAAAGUAUUUUUUGUUUUUUUUUAGAGCUUAAUACCUUUGUGAAAUGAAUUUAAUUAUAAUAAUUAAAUUCAAUGCUUGUUCGAUGAUAUAAAUGAAUGCAUUAAUAAUUUCUAAUUUUUAUUUUUUUAUUUUAAAUAUUCAUUUUCGUUAGUCAUAUUUUUUUCAAAAAUAAGACGAUCCUCCACCACGCGAAGAG